UGCGCAGGCGGAAUAUUAAGUCAGUGGUGAAAUCCUGCGGCUCAACCGUAGAACUGCCAUUGAUACUGAUAUUCUUGAAUAUAGUUGAGGUAGGCGGAAUGUGUAAUGUAGCGGUGAAAUGCUUAGAUAUUACACAGAACACCGAUUGCGAAGGCAGCUUACUAAACUAUUAUUGACGCUGAUGUACGAAAGCGUGGGGAGCGAACAGGAUUAGAUACCCUGGUAGUC
rnacentral:rRNA from 1 species